rnacentral:lncRNA from 1 species
CCAGAAGAGGGGUCGGAUUUUAUUGGCUGAGGAUUGGACUAGGGAUUGGUGACGAGGCAUACACGUCAGCACCCAAUCAUGGAUGGCCUAAAGAGAUUGGCUUGGAAGCUGUGUGUUAUGAAGAAGAUGCCAUUCAUUCCCCACUGUUUUGUUUCCAUAUAUAUAUAUAUAUAUUAUUCUUACAUUAUAUAUAACAUUAAUUAAAUAAUUAAAUAAUUGGUUUAAGUGCUUCCUUGUGAACUAAGGCUAAUUGUUGAACCUACAUGAAGUAGCAGUUGAUAGCUCGGUUUUUCUCUUUGUUUGUAAUAUGUCCAUUAAAAUUGGUGGUUUGCAGAAUACAAGUUGGCAAGCA